rnacentral:misc_RNA from 1 species
UACGUAGGUGGCAAGCGUUAUCCGGAUUUAUUGGGCGUAAAGCGUACGUAGGCGGUCCGGUAAGUCUGUUGUGAAAUCUCCCGGCUUAACUGGGAGAGGUCAAUGGAAACUGUCGGACUGGAGGGGCGUAGAGGCGAGCGGAAUUCCCGGUGUAGUGGUGAAAUGCGUAGAUAUCGGGAGGAACACCAGUGGCGAAAGCGGCUCGCUAGGCGCUACCUGACGCUGAGGUACGAAAGCGUGGGGAGCGAACCGG